rnacentral:rRNA from 1 species
CCCUUAGAUGUUCUGGGCCGCACGCGCGCUACACUGACGCAUUCAACGAGUCUAAAACCUGCUCUGAUAGGGGUGGGUAAUCUUUUGAAUGUGCAUCGUGAUUGGGAUAGAUGAUUGCAAUUUUUCAUCUUCAACGAGGAAUGCCUAGUAAACGCAAGUCAUCAGCUUGCAUUGAUUACGUCCCUGCCCUUUGUACACACCGCCCGUCGCUCCUACCGAUUGAAUGAUCCGAUGAAUAUCAUGGAUUGAGGAUGUAAGCAGGUUCGCCUGUCUUCAUCUUCGAGAAGUGAAGUAAAUCUUAUCAUUUAGAGGAAGGAGAAGUCGUAACA